rnacentral:snoRNA from 1 species
AAAUAAAAUAAAACCACACACAAAAAAAAGUUGUUUCUUGACUGUAUCUGUCUGCUAUUCCCCUGUAGCAGCCAGGGACGCUUGGCCUCAUACAU